CAUCUUUAUAUGAUCAACAAAAUCUAAAAUAUAAAAGAAAAAUUUAAUUUUAAAAUUGGCUACGAAGCCAUUAUUCAUUAAGAUCCUAUUUGCCAUUCGGAGAAUAUAUAAUACCAGUCGGCUUAAAAAGAGAUAGUUGGUAACUCUACAUAGGACAUACAGACAAAAUUAUUUCGCUCCUCCUUUUUUACAAUCUUUAAAUUUUUACCUAAAAACUAAUAAUUUCUUGCUAUUACUAUUACGGGUAUAACAUACAUAUACUCAAUGGAAAAAAUGGACGCAUUUUUUGAUUUUAGGUGCGUAGCAAUGAGACUAGUCAGUGUGGAGCAAAUUGAACAUAGUCUAUUUGGAUAAAGAUUAUAGACAUACCUGCGAUUGCAUACGGUUCCAUAAAUGCAAAUUGUCAACUUUUGUCCUAGAAAAUUUGUCAAGAAAUUCAACAAACGAAUCAUCUAUAAAAAUUUCCACUGAUGUUGGGAGGCUCUCACGCAUUGCCAACGACCAGCCGCAUAUGAAGAAUUGAAUGCAAAUGCAUGCCACCAAUGCCGCUAUGAACUAUAGAUUUGCAAAAUUAAAACAAUUUUUAAAACUUUAAAGAAACGACCAUUGUGAAGUGAACCAUUUUCUUGUUACCGUUCCUAGUAGACAUCGUUUUCUUUGAUUUGUAGCUUGACAUCCCAUCCAACAGAGAAGAAAUGUAACUGGCCCUAAACACAAUAGGAUGGCAGCUGGAGCCCAUAAUUUAUUUUGGACAAUACCGUAAUAACCAGAAUGACCCCAUAACAAAAUUGUACCAACUAGUAUUUGGGCAGCACCAGUUACCUGAAAAUUACUACAUUAUAUUACCGGAUGUUCGUGCAUACAUACAAGUAUAUGUAGAUAUAGAUAAUACUUUAUAUAUGUCACAUAUUGUAGGAUGUAUGUGUACAGAUAAACUAGUUACGUUAUAAAACCAAUGAGUUCUUGACCUUUGUAAGUAAUUUAGUUAUCAUAAUUGAUGAUUUAGUAAAAUAAUAUUAUCAAUUUAUCCUUGAGUUUAUUUUAGCAAAUCGACCUUCAAAUAUUUAGUACUCAUUACUUUGCCAUAUCCAUAAAAAAAUAUUAGUAUAGUUGAUGUUACGUACCAUUAAGAGCACGACGUAGCUGUAAACUAAAUAUUUAAAACAUUUAAUCCGCUUUGUUAAUGCCAUAUCAUAUGUCGACGCUUGCACUGAACGCGAACUUUGGGUGGUAAUUCAUUUACAAAUUUAGAGGAAUACAAUUAUUAUCCAAUGUAAAUUUUUCCGCGCUCGUAAUUGAGUCUAUUUAAGAAGUUUCCAAUCAAAAAAAUUGCCUCAACAUUUUGAAAAACUAAGGAUUCUAGUUUUAAUACUUCAGUAUUUUAAUAUAGUAAAUCGCAAAUUAUAUUUCAGUUUGCUGUGAUUAUUAUGUAUAAGAAAGCACGAUAAGUGAAAUCAGUUUGAUAAACUGUUUGACUUUUCCUGUGCUUGUGUUGCUGUCCUUCAAGCUUGCUUCCAUGCACACUCACUCACUUAUGUACAAGUGACGUUCUUUUUAAGCUUUUCAUAUUAUCUAUAACUUUUGUAUUCCAACUACAAUCUAAUGAAUCAAAAACAAAUGGUGCCAUAUUUAAAAUAUGAAAAAGGGGUGUAUGUAUAUAUCGGAUAUAUGGAAAUUAAAUAAAUAUUGGGAUAGAUUGUUUUUAAUUUUAAUACUAACUAUAAGUUUUUGGAAAAAAAUUUCUAAAAUAUCCAUAAAUAAUUAAUUAUAAUAUAUUUUCUAAACCAAAAAAUCUAUUAGUCCAUACUACAUUUCAACAAGCUCAGUUUAAGAAAAACAAACAUAGUAUUCUAACUGUAUGUAUAUACAUAUAUAUAUAUAUAUAUGUACCUUUGUAUAUAAUAUUUAUUUAUUUCAAUAUAAUAAAAUCAGUGAAUAAAAUUGUGAAAAUUUACAUUUAUUCACCUUAAGUAUACUGGUUUUUGUUUAUGUGCUUAUAUUAUAUAAUAAACUAAUUCGGGUACUUAGUAUUUUUAUGUUCUAAAUGGACUAGUGUGCAAACUCGGUUGCAUAUGAGAUACGGGACGGGAGGAAAAGAACGUCUAUUUCAUCGACUGCUAGUCUGACCAGUCAUUUUAUUUAUCUCUCUCUCUCUUUCAUUAUCUAUUCUUUAACUUCCUUCUUCUCAUGAAAACAAUCAGCUUUAUACUAACAAUUCCAGAUCAAUUUGAAAGGAAUCAAAAUAGGCCUAUUUAUGAUUUUCGUAACGAAGGAAUACAUAUCUCAAAAGAUAUAUACUCUUCUCGAAAUAAUUUAGUAAAAUAAUAGCAUAAAAAAUAUUAAAGAUCGUAGGCCCAUAAGUGUCCUCACGGUAGUCACUGUAACUUAGGAAAUUUUUUAUCUGAAAUUAAAAAAACAAAGAUUGCCUGCUUAAACAAAGGAUUUUAAGAAAACUUGAAAAUUUGUUUUUUUUUUUGCAUUUUUCGCAAGUUAUAAGCACUUUUGCACUAAAUUUGGCCACGUAUUACCCUCUCAACUGAAUUGUAAAUGAUGAUAAAAAAAUCCUUCGUUCAAGCAGUAGACAA